rnacentral:rRNA from 1 species
GAUGAUGUGGUUUAAUUCGAUGCAACGCGAAAAACCUUACCCACCUUUGACAUGGCAGGAAUCCUUUAGAGAUAGAGGAGUGCUCGAAAGAGAACCUGCACACAGGUGCUGCAUGGCUGUCGUCAGCUCGUGUCGUGAGAUGUUGGGUUAAGUCCCGCAACGAGCGCAACCCUUGCCAUUAGUUGCUACGAAAGGGCACUCUAAUGGGACUGCCGGUGACAAACCGGAGGAAGGUGGGGAUGACGUCAAGUCCUCAUGGCCCUUAUAGGUGGGGCUACACACGUCAUACAAUGGCUGGUACAAAGGGUUGCCAACCCGCGAGGGGGAGCUAAUCCCAUAAAGCCAGUCGUAGUCCGGAUCGCAGUCUGCAACUCGACUGCGUGAAGUCGGAAUCGCUAGUAAUCGUGGAUCAGCAUGUCACGGUGAAUACGUUCCCGGGUCUUGUACACACCGCCCGUCACACCAUGGGAGCGGGUCUCGCCAGAAGUAGGUAGCCUAACCGCAAGGAGGGCGCUUACCACGGCGGGGUUCGUGACUGGGGUGAAGUCGUAACAAGGUAGCC